GUCUUUUUGAAAUAAUUUAAAGUCUAAUCUGCCCACUGAUAAAAAUUAAAGGGCUGCAGUAUAAUGACUGUACAAAGGUAGCAUAAUCAAUAGUUUUUUAAUUGGAAACUUGUAUGAAAGAUUUGAUGAAAUAUAAACUGUCUCUAUUUUAUAAAUUGAAUUUUAUUUUUUGGUAAAAAAGCUAAAAUAAAUUUAAAAGACGAGAAGACCCUAUAGAGUUUUAUAUUUAAUUUUAUUUGAAAAUUAUAUAAAAAUUAUUAUUUAAAUAAAAUUAAUUAUUAUGUUGGGGUGACAGAAAAAUUAAAUUAACUUUUUUUAAAAAUUAAACAUAAAUAAGUGAUUAUAUGAUCCAUAAAUAAUGAUUAUAAGAAAAAAUUACCUUAGGGAUAACAGCGUAAUAUUUUUUUUUAGUUCAAAUAAAAAAGAAAGUUUGCGACCUCGAUGUUGGAUUAAGAUAAAAUUUAAAUGCAAAAGUUUAAAAUUUUUGAUCUGUUCGAUCAUUAAAAUCUUACA
rnacentral:rRNA from 1 species